rfam:Prunus persica cultivar Lovell chromosome G6, whole genome shotgun sequence.
GGAUAUCUUUUUUUGCUAUCCUCGACUAAUAACGCAAUGACACGUAGGAUAACUUUUCUAUGUGUCAUUGUGUUAUUGGUCGGAAAUAGCAAAACAGUGUUAUCC